AUAAUGCAGUCGAGCGGACAGAAGGGAGCUUGCUCCCGGAUGUUAGCGGCGGACGGGUGAGUAACACGUGGGUAACCUGCCUGUAAGACUGGGAUAACUCCGGGAAACCGGAGCUAAUACCGGAUAGUUCCUUGAACCGCAUGGUUCAAGGAUGAAAGACGGUUUCGGCUGUCACUUACAGAUGGACCCGCGGCGCAUUAGCUAGUUGGUGAGGUAACGGCUCACCAAGGCGACGAUGCGUAGCCGACCUGAGAGGGUGAUCGGCCACACUGGGACUGAGACACGGCCCAGACUCCUACGGGAGGCAGCAGUAGGGAAUCUUCCGCAAUGGACGAAAGUCUGACGGAGCAACGCCGCGUGAGUGAUGAAGGUUUUCGGAUCGUAAAGCUCUGUUGUUAGGGAAGAACAAGUGCAAGAGUAACUGCUUGCACCUUGACGGUACCUAACCAGAAAGCCACGGCUAACUACGUGCCAGCAGCCGCGGUAAUACGUAGGUGGCAAGCGUUGUCCGGAAUUAUUGGGCGUAAAGGGCUCGCAGGCGGUUUCUUAAGUCUGAUGUGAAAGCCCCCGGCUCAACCGGGGAGGGUCAUUGGAAACUGGGAAACUUGAGUGCAGAAGAGGAGAGUGGAAUUCCACGUGUAGCGGUGAAAUGCGUAGAGAUGUGGAGGAACACCAGUGGCGAAGGCGACUCUCUGGUCUGUAACUGACGCUGAGGAGCGAAAGCGUGGGGAGCGAACAGGAUUAGAUACCCUGGUAGUCCACGCCGUAAACGAUGAGUGCUAAGUG
rnacentral:rRNA from 1 species